AGGGAGUUUGAUCCUGGCUCAGGACGAACGCUGGCGGCGUGCUUAACACAUGCAAGUCGAACGAGGUUAUAGGAGAGCUUGCUCGAAUAUAGCCGAGUGGCGGACGGGUGAGUAACGCGUGAACAAUCUGUCUCAUACAGGGGAAUAACGCAUCGAAAGAUGUGCUAAUACCGCAUAGGACCACGGUAUCGCAUGGUACUGAGGUGAAAGGAGCAAUCCGGUAUGAGGUGAGUUCGCGUCUGAUUAGAUAGUUGGUGAGGUAACGGCCCACCAAGUCAACGAUCAGUAGCCGACCUGAGAGGGUGAUCGGCCACAUUGGGACUGAGACACGGCCCAGACUCCUACGGGAGGCAGCAGUGGGGAAUAUUGGGCAAUGGGCGAAAGCCUGACCCAGCAACGCCGCGUGAAGGAAGAAGGUUUUCGGAUCGUAAACUUCUGUCCUUGGUGAAGAGGAGAAGACGGUAGCCAAGGAGGAAGCCCCGGCUAACUACGUGCCAGCAGCCGCGGUAAUACGUAGGGGGCGAGCGUUGUCCGGAAUGAUUGGGCGUAAAGGGCGCGUAGGCGGCUUGUUAAGUCUGGAGUGAAAGUCCUGUUUUCAAGAUGGGAAUUGCUUUGGAUACUGAUGAGCUUGAGUGCAGGAGAGGUUAUCGGAAUUCCCGGUGUAGCGGUGAAAUGCGUAGAGAUCGGGAGGAACACCAGUGGCGAAGGCGGGUAACUGGACUGCAACUGACGCUGAGGCGCGAAAGUGUGGGGAGCAAACAGGAUUAGAUACCCUGGUAGUCCCCU
rnacentral:rRNA from 1 species